UGAGGAAUAUUGGUCAAUGGGCGAGAGCCUGAACCAGCCAAGUAGCGUGCAGGAAGACGGCCCUAUGGGUUGUAAACUGCUUUUAUGCGGGGAUAAAGUGAGGGACGUGUCCUUCAUUGCAGGUACCGCAUGAAUAAGGACCGGCUAAUUCCGUGCCAGCAGCCGCGGUAAUACGGAAGGUCCUGGCGUUAUCCGGAUUUAUUGGGUUUAAAGGGAGCGUAGGCUGGAGAUUAAGUGUGUUGUGAAAUGUAGACGCUCAACGUCUGACUUGCAGCGCAUACUGGUUUCCUUGAGUACGCACAACGUUGGCGGAAUUCGUCGUGUAGCGGUGAAAUGCUUAGAUAUGACGAAGAACUCCGAUUGCGAAGGCAGCUGACGGGAGCGCAGCUGACGCUUAAGCUCGAAGGUGCGGGUAUCAAACAGGAUUAGAUACCCUGGUAGUCCGCACAGUAAACGAUGGAUGCCCGCUGUUGGUACCUGGUAUCAGCGGCUAAGCGAAAGCAUUAAGCAUCCCACCUGGGGAGUACGCCGGCAACGGUG
rnacentral:rRNA from 1 species